UACAGGGGGGGCAAGCGUUGUUCGGAAUUACUGGGCGUAAAGGGCUCGUAGGCGGCCAACUAAGUCACACGUGAAAUCCCCGGGCUUAACCUGGGAACUGCAUUUGUGACUGCAUAGCUAGAGUACGGUAGAGGGGGAUGGAAUUCCGCGUGUAGCAGUGAAAUGCGUAGAUAUGCGGAGGAACACCGAUGGCGAAGGCAAUCCCCUGGACCUGUACUGACGCUCAUGCACGAAAGCGUGGGGAGCAAACAGG
rnacentral:rRNA from 1 species